GACAGAACUUGUACAAAAAUACGACUACUACUAGUACAACGUACGUUUUUCUGCUGUUUCAUCUUGUUCAGAAUUAAACUGAUUAUCCCCAAAAUUCAGUUUAACACAAAGAAGUUGAGCACCAAAUAUUUGUUAGACAUGAGUGAAGUACCAAAGCAAGCUUAUCCUUACCCUGCUGCAGGUUAUUACAAGGGACCUCCAGUGAUGGCUCCUCCAAUGUAUGUUGCUGCUCCCCCUCCUAGGAGGGAACCUGGUUUUCUCGAGGCUUGCCUCGCAACUUUAUGUUGUUGUUGCCUCCUAGAUGCUUGUUGCUGGGAUCCUUUCCUCUUCAUUUAGUUUUGUGGAACCCUUAUAAUGCAAGUAAUGUAGUUCAACUUAUGCUCUUUCACCUUUUUAGCUACGACAUGGAUCUUCUUACUUUUUUUGUAUAUAUAAGCCACUCUCAGUGUUCGUUCUUCCAAGUGAAUAAAAGAGUUAUAGAGUUCUAAUUU